rnacentral:rRNA from 1 species
AUUGAACGCUGGCGGAAUGCUUUACACAUGCAAGUCGAACGAUGAACCUUAGCUUGCUAAGGGGAUUAGUGGCGAACGGGUGAGUAAUGUAUCGGAACGUAUCCAAUAAUGGGGGAUAACUAGUCGAAAGAUUAGCUAAUACCGCAUACGUCCUACGGGAGAAAGCUAGGGACCUUCGGGCCUGGCGUUAAUGGAGCGGCCGAUAUCUGAUUAGCUAGUUGGUGGGGUAAAGGCUCACCAAGGCGACGAUCAGUAGCUGGUCUGAGAGGACGACCAGCCACACUGGAACUGAGACACGGUCCAGACUCCUACGGGAGGCAGCAGUGGGGAAUUUUGGACAAUGGGCGAAAGCCUGAUCCAGCCAUUCCGCGUGAGUGAAGAAGGCCUUCGGGUUGUAAAGCCCUUUCGCAAGGGAAGAAAACUUAAGCUCUAACAUAGCUUGAGAUUGACGGUACCUUGAUAAGAAGCACCGGCUAACUACGUGCCAGCCGCCGCCGUAA